CCGCCUGGGGAGUACGGCCGCAAGGUUAAAACUCAAAUGAAUUGACGGGGGCCCGCACAAGCGGUGGAGCAUGUGGUUUAAUUCGAUGCAACGCGAAGAACCUUACCUACUCUUGACAUCCAGAGAACUUAGCAGAGAUGCUUUGGUGCCUUCGGGAACUCUGAGACAGGUGCUGCAUGGCUGUCGUCAGCUCGUGUUGUGAAAUGUUGGGUUAAGUCCCGCAACGAGCGCAACCCUUAUCCUUUGUUGCCAGCGGUUAGGCCGGGAACUCAAAGGAGACUGCCAGUGAUAAACUGGAGGAAGGUGGGGAUGACGUCAAGUCAUCAUGGCCCUUACGAGUAGGGCUACACACGUGCUACAAUGGCGCAUACAAAGAGAAGCGACCUCGCGAGAGCAAGCGGACCUCAUAAAGUAUGUCGUAGUCCGGAUUGGAGUCUGCAACUCGACUCCAUGAAGUCGGAAUCGCUAGUAAUCGUAGAUCAGAAUGCUACGGUGAAUACGUUCCCGGGCCUUGUACACACCGCCCGUCACACCAUGGGAGUGGGUUGCAAAAGAAGUAGGUAGCUUAACCUUCGGGAGGGCGCUUACCACUUUGUGAUUCAUGACUGGGGUGAAGUCGUAACAAGGUAACCGUAGGGGAACCUGCGGUUGGAUCACCUCCUUACCUUAAAGAA
rnacentral:rRNA from 1 species